UAACUUACCUGACAGGGGAGAUGCCAUGAUCACGAAGGUGGUUUUCCCAGGGCGAGGCUUAUCCACUGCACUCUGGAUGCACUGACCCCUGCGAUUUCCCCAAAUGUGGGAAACUAGACUGCAUUAAA
rnacentral:snRNA from 1 species